rnacentral:tRNA from 1 species
UUAAUAGUAGCUUGAGGCUUCUCAUUGUUAAUGAGAUUAUGAAUUUAAUUCCUAUUAAU